GUACGCUGGCGGCACGCCUAACACAUGCAAGUCGAACGAAGUAGCAAUACUUAGUGGCAGACGGGUGAGUAACAUGUGGGUAUCUGCCCUUUGGCCUGGAAUAACACGAGGAAACUUGUGCUAAUACCGGAUAAGUCUUUACAGAGAAAGCUUUAUGCACCAUUGGAUGAGCCCGCACUUGAUUAGUUUGUUGGUGGGGUAAUGGCUUACCAAGACUGUGAUCAAUAGCUGAUUUGAGAGGAUGAUCAGCCACAUUGGGACUGAGACACGGCCCAAACUCCUACGGGAGGCAGCAGUGGGGAAUCUUGCACAAUGGAGGAAACUCUGAUGCAGCGAUGCCGCGUGAGUGAAGAAGGCCCUUGGGUUGUAAAGCUCUUUCGUCGGGGAAGAAAAUGACUGUACCCGAAUAAGAAGGUCCGGCUAACU
rnacentral:rRNA from 1 species